rnacentral:sRNA from 1 species
CUUCGCGGUAGCGGCAGCCGGGACCGCGGUUCAGGUAAGAAUGGGGCCUUGGUUGGAUCCGAAGGGCUUGUAGCAGGUUGGCUGCGGGGUCAGAAGGCGCGGGGGGAACUGAAGAACGGGGCCUGCUCUGUGGCCCUGCUCCAGUCCCUAUGUGAACUCCUUGGGAGGCCUGGCCUUCCCCACGUGAGCCGCCGCGACCACCUCCAUCCCGUCGCGAUCGUUUCUGGACCGCUUUUCCUUCCCAAACCUCCUUUAUCCCAGAGCAUUUCUUGGCUUCUCUUACAAGUCGUCUUUCUUUCCUCAGUCGCCAAUAUGCAGCUCUUUGUCCGCGCCCAGAAGCUACACACCCUCGAGGUGACCGGCCAGGAAACGGUCGCCCAAAUCAAGGUAAGGCUGCUUGGUGCGCCCUGGGUUCCAUUUUCUUGUGCUCUUCACUUUCGCGGCCCGAGGGAACGCUUACGAGCCUUAUGUUUCCCUGUAGGCUCAUGUAGCCUCACUGGAGGGCAUUGCCCCGGAAGAUCAAGUCGUGCUCCUGGCAGGCGCGCCCCUGGAGGAUGAGGCCACUCUGGGCCAGUGCGGGGUGGAGGCCCUGACUACCCUGGAAGUAGCAGGCCGCAUGCUUGGAGGUGAGUGAGAGAGGAAUGUUCUUUGAACUACCGAUAAGCGUCUAGUGGGUGUGGGGUGCAUAGUCCUGACAGCUGAGUGUCACACCUAUGGUAAUAGAGUACUUCUCACUGUCCUCAGUUCAGAGUGAUUCUUCCUGUUUACAUCCCUCAUGUUGAACACAGACGUCCAUGGGAGACUGAGCCAGAGUGUAGUUGUAUUUCAGUCACAUCACGAGAUCCUAGUCUGGUUAUCAGCUUCCACACUAAAAUUAGGUCAGACCAGGGCCCCCAAAGUGCUCUAUAAAGUUAGAAGCUGGAAGAUCCUGAAAUGAAACUUAAGAUUUCAGGGUCAAAUAUCUGCAACUUUGUUCUCAUUACCUAUUGGGCCCAGCUUCUCUUUAAAGGCAUGAAUUGAGAAAAGAGGGGUUCUGCUGGGUGGCACCUUCUUGCUCUUACCUGCUGGUGCUUUCCUUUCCCACUACAGGUAAAGUCCAUGGUUCCCUGGCCCGUGCUGGAAAAGUGAGAGGUCAGACCCCUAAGGUGAGUGAGAGUAUUAGUGGUCAUGGUGUUUGGACUUUGUCUUUUCCUGUCACAGCUAAACCAAGUCCCUGGGCUCUUACUCGGUUUGCCUUCUCCCUCCCUGGAGAUGAGCUUGAGGGAAGGGAUGCUGGGUGUGGAAGAUAUGAACCAGGGCCUGAUUAACCCUCCUUUCUCCAGGUGGCCAAACAGGAGAAGAAGAAGAAGAAGACAGGUCGGGCUAAGCGGCGGAUGCAGUACAACCGGCGCUUUGUCAACGUUGUGCCCACCUUUGGCAAGAAGAAGGGCCCCAAUGCCAACUCUUAAGUCCUUUGUAAUUCUGGCUUUCUCUAAUAAAAAAGCCACUUAGUUCA